rnacentral:rRNA from 1 species
GCCACCUGCAGUCGAGCGGUAGAGAGUGCUUGCACCUCUUGAGAGCGGCGGACGGGUGAGUAAUGCCUAGGAAUCUGCCUGGUAGUGGGGGAUAACGCUCGGAAACGGACGCUAAUACCGCAUACGUCCUACGGGAGAAAGCAGGGGACCUUCGGGCCUUGCGCUAUCAGAUGAGCCUAGGUCGGAUUAGCUAGUUGGUGAGGUAAUGGCUCACCAAGGCGACGAUCCGUAACUGGUCUGAGAGGAUGAUCAGUCACACUGGAACUGAGACACGGUCCAGACUCCUACGGGAGGCAGCAGUGGGGAAUAUUGGACAAUGGGCGAAAGCCUGAUCCAGCCAUGCCGCGUGUGUGAAGAAGGUCUUCGGAUUGUAAAGCACUUUAAGUUGGGAGGAAGGGCCAUUACCUAAUACGUGAUGGUUUUGACGUUACCGACAGAAUAAGCACCGGCUAACUCUGUGCCAGCAGCCGCGGUAAUACAGAGGGUGCAAGCGUUAAUCGGAAUUACUGGGCGUAAAGCGCGCGUAGGUGGUUCGUUAAGUUGGAUGUGAAAGCCCCGGGCUUAACCUGGGAACUGCAUUCAAAACUGACGAGCUAGAGUAUGGUAGAGGGUGGUGGAAUUUCCUGUGUAGCGGUGAAAUGCGUAGAUAUAGGAAGGACACCAGUGGCGAAGGCGACCACCUGUACGCGC